AUUGAACGCUGGCGGCAGGCUUAACACAUGCAAGUCGAGCGGAGUGAUGGUGCUUGCACUAUCACUUAGCGGCGGACGGGUGAGUAAUGCUUAGGAAUCUGCCUAUUAGUGGGGGACAACAUCUCGAAAGGGAUGCUAAUACCGCAUACGUCCUACGGGAGAGAGCAGGGGAUCACUUGUGACCUUGCGCUAAUAGAUGAGCCUAAGUCGGAUUAGCUAGUUGGUGGGGUAAAGGCCUACCAAGGCGACGAUCUGUAGCGGGUCUGAGAGGAUGAUCCGCCACACUGGGACGGAGACACGGCCCAGACUCCUACGGGAGGCAGCAGUGGGGAAUAGUGGACAAUGGGGGGAACCCUGAUCCAGCCAUGCCGCGUGGGUGAAGAAGGCCUUAUGGUUGUAAAGCACUUUAAGCGAGGAGGAGGCUCUUUUGGUUAAUACCCAAGAUGAGUGGACGUUACUCGCAGAAUAAGCACCGGCUAACUCUGUGCCAGCCGCCGCGGUAA
rnacentral:rRNA from 1 species